CAGUCGCCGCGGGAAUACGUAGGUGGCAAGCGUUGUCCGGAAUUAUUGGGCGUAAAGGGCUCGCAGGCGGUCUCUUAAGUCUGAUGUGAAAGCCCCCGGCUCAACCGGGGAGGGUCAUUGGAAACUGGGAAACUUGAGUGCAGAAGAGGAGAGUGGAAUUCCACGUGUAGCGGUGAAAUGCGUAGAGAUGUGGAGGAACACCAGUGGCGAAGGCGACUCUCUGGUCUGUAACUGACGCUGAGGAGCGAAAGCGUGGGGAGCGAACAGGAUUAGAUACCCCGGUAGUCCCUGUCUCUUAUAC
rnacentral:rRNA from 1 species